GAGUUUGAUCAUGGCUCAGAUUGAACGCUGGCGGCAGGCCUAACACAUGCAAGUCGAACGGUAACAGGAAACAGCUUGCUGUUUCGCUGACGAGUGGCGGACGGGUGAGUAAUGUCUGGGAAACUGCCUGAUGGAGGGGGAUAACUACUGGAAACGGUAGCUAAUACCGCAUAACGUCGCAAGACCAAAGAGGGGGACCUUCGGGCCUCUUGCCAUCAGAUGUGCCCAGAUGGGAUUAGCUAGUAGGUGGGGUAACGGCUCACCUAGGCGACGAUCCCUAGCUGGUCUGAGAGGAUGACCAGCCACACUGGAACUGAGACACGGUCCAGACUCCUACGGGAGGCAGCAGUGGGGAAUAUUGCACAAUGGGCGCAAGCCUGAUGCAGCCAUGCCGCGUGUAUGAAGAAGGCCUUCGGGUUGUAAAGUACUUUCAGCGGGGAGGAAGGGAGUAAAGUUAAUACCUUUGCUCAUUGACGUUACCCGCAGAAGAAGCACCGGCUAACUCCGUGCCAGCAGCCGCGGUAAUACGGAGGGUGCAAGCGUUAAUCGGAAUUACUGGGCGUAAAGCGCACGCAGGCGGUUUGUUAAGUCAGAUGUGAAAUCCCCGGGCUCAACCUGGGAACUGCAUCUGAUACUGGCAAGCUUGAGUCUCGUAGAGGGGGUAGAAUUCCAGGUGUAGCGGUGAAAUGCGUAGAGAUCUGGAGGAAUACCGGUGGCGAAGGCGGCCCCCUGGACGAAGACUGACGCUCAGGUGCGAAAGCGUGGGGAGCAAACAGGAUUAGAUACCCUGGUAGUCCACGCCGUAAACGAUGUCGACUUGGAGGUUGUGCCCUUGAGGCGUGGCUUCCGGAGCUAACGCGUUAAGUCGACCGCCUGGGGAGUACGGCCGCAAGGUUAAAACUCAAAUGAAUUGACGGGGGCCCGCACAAGCGGUGGAGCAUGUGGUUUAAUUCGAUGCAACGCGAAGAACCUUACCUGGUCUUGACAUCCACGGAAGUUUUCAGAGAUGAGAAUGUGCCUUCGGGAACCGUGAGACAGGUGCUGCAUGGCUGUCGUCAGCUCGUGUUGUGAAAUGUUGGGUUAAGUCCCGCAACGAGCGCAACCCUUAUCCUUUGUUGCCAGCGGUCCGGCCGGGAACUCAAAGGAGACUGCCAGUGAUAAACUGGAGGAAGGUGGGGAUGACGUCAAGUCAUCAUGGCCCUUACGACCAGGGCUACACACGUGCUACAAUGGCGCAUACAAAGAGAAGCGACCUCGCGAGAGCAAGCGGACCUCAUAAAGUGCGUCGUAGUCCGGAUUGGAGUCUGCAACUCGACUCCAUGAAGUCGGAAUCGCUAGUAAUCGUGGAUCAGAAUGCCACGGUGAAUACGUUCCCGGGCCUUGUACACACCGCCCGUCACACCAUGGGAGUGGGUUGCAAAAGAAGUAGGUAGCUUAACCUACGGGAGGGCGCUUACCACUUUGUGAUUCAUGACUGGGGUGAAGUCGUAACAAGGUAACCGUAGGGGAACCUGCGGUUG
rnacentral:rRNA from 1 species